rnacentral:rRNA from 1 species
GACGAACGCUGGCGGCGUGCCUAAUACAUGCAAGUUGAGCGAUGAAGAUUGGUGCUUGCACCAAUUUGAAGAGCAGCGAACGGGUGAGUAACGCGUGGGGAAUCUGCCUUUGAGCGGGGGACAACAUUUGGAAACGAAUGCUAAUACCGCAUAACAACUUUAAACAUAAGUUUUAAGUUUGAAAGAUGCAAUUGCAUCACUCAAAGAUGAUCCCGCGUUGUAUUAGCUAGUUGGUGAGGUAAAGGCUCACCAAGGCGAUGAUACAUAGCCGACCUGAGAGGGUGAUCGGCCACAUUGGGACGGAGACACGGCCCAAACUCCUACGGGAGGCAGCAGGAGGGAAUCUUCGGCAAUGGACGAAAGUCUGGCCGAGCAACGCCGCGUGAGUGAAGAAGGUUUUCGGAUCGUAAAACUCUGUUGGUAGAGAAGAACGUUGGUGAGAGUGGAAAGCUCAUCAAGUGACGGUAACUACCCAGAAAGGGACGGCUAACUACGUG